GGCCAUAUGGCGUUGAAACACCGGUUCCUGUACAAUCACCAAAGUUAAGCAAUGCUGAGUGUGGUCAGUACCUAGAUGAGUAACUGUUUGGGAAUACCAGGUGCUGUAAG